rnacentral:rRNA from 1 species
UACGUAGGGUGCGAGCGUUGUCCGGAUUUAUUGGGCGUAAAGAGCUCGUAGGCGGUCUGUCGCGUCGGAUGUGAAAACCCAGGGCUCAACCCUGGGCCUGCAUUCGAUACGGGCAGACUAGAGUACGGCAGGGGAGACUGGAAUUCCUGGUGUAGCGGUGAAAUGCGCAGAUAUCAGGAGGAACACCGGUGGCGAAGGCGGGACUCUGGGCCGAUACUGACGCUGAGGAGCGAAAGCGUGGGGAGCAAACAGG